rfam:Cephalotus follicularis DNA, scaffold: scaffold953, isolate: St1.
GCCCCCAUCGUUUAGUGGUUAAGGACAUCUCUCUUUGAAGGAGGCAGCGGGGAUUCGACUUCCCCUGGGGGUA